GGGGUUGUGGCUCCGUGGUGGAGCGCUCGCCUGGCACAUGUGAGGCACUGGGUUCGAUCCUCAGCACCACA
rnacentral:tRNA from 1 species